UACAGAGGUCUCAAGCGUUGUUCGGAAUCACUGGGCGUAAAGCGUUCGUAGGCGGCAAGGUAAGUCUGAUGUUAAAGCCCGGGGCUCAACUCCGGUUCGGCAUUGGAUACUAUCUAGCUAGAAUGUGGUAGAGGUAAAGGGAAUUCCUGGUGUAGCGGUGAAAUGCGUAGAUAUCAGGAGGAACAUCGGUGGCGAAAGCGCUUUACUGGACCAUUAUUGACGCUGAGGAACGAAAGCCAGGGGAGCAAAUGGG
rnacentral:rRNA from 1 species